rnacentral:rRNA from 1 species
GUCCACGCCGUAAACGAUGUCAACUAGUCGUCGGGGACUUCGGUCUUUGGUGGCGCAGCUAACGCGUGAAGUUGACCGCCUGGGGAGUACGGCCGCAAGGUUAAAACUCAAAUGAAUUGACGGGGCCCGCACAAGCGGUGGAGCAUGUGGUUUAAUUCGAUGCAACGCGAAAACCUUACCUACCCUUGACAUCCUCGGAACUUUCCAGAGAUGGAUUGGUGCCUUCGGGAACCGAGAGACAGGUGCUGCAUGGCUGUCGU